rnacentral:rRNA from 1 species
UACGUAGGGUGCAAGCGUUAAUCGGAAUUACUGGGCGUAAAGCGUGCGUAGGCGGUUUUGUAAGUCUGUCGUGAAAGCCCCGGGCUCAACCUGGGAAUUGCGAUGGAGACUGCAAGGCUUGAAUCUGGCAGAGGGGGGUAGAAUUCCACGUGUAGCAGUGAAAUGCGUAGAGAUGUGGAGGAACACCGAUGGCGAAGGCAGCCCCCUGGGUCAAGAUUGACGCUCAUGCACGAAAGCGUUGGGAGCAAACAGG